GAGUAGACAUGACCUGGGCCGUGAAGAAUUCGUAAAGCAAGUGAGUUAAAAAACUUCUUAUGCACUGAGGAAGUGGAAGAACCAGUCUGGUGAUACAAUCAUGCAUGUCACAACAACGGCGUUUAGGUGCUUCACUUGAUUGGUCUCGUGAGUGCUUUGCAAUGGAUGGGCAAAGAUCAAAAGCUGUCACCGAGGCUUUUGUACGGUUAUACUAAAAGGAAGGGCUUAUCUAUAGAGAUAAUAGGAAAGUUUGCUGUACAUCCAUUUAUUAGUGGAUGGAAGUUACCAAUCAUCUGUUAAUCAAAGACUAUGGACCUAAAGGGCUUUAUAUUUUAGUGUAUAUUGGGCCGAUACAUUUUUUUGAAGAUAAAGGAUGAAGCCAUUAAUCCAUAAGGUCGAAGCUGAAAAAAUAAGAAAAAAGAUUGAGGAAUUAGAGAAGUAAGUUUUCAACCCAU